rnacentral:pre_miRNA from 1 species
UAUUAGGUUGGUGCACAAGUAAUUGCUGUUUUUGCUAUUAAAAUUAAUGGCAAAAGCUGCAAUUACUUGUGUACCAACCUAAUA